UAAAAAAGUUACACAUGAACGCUUUAGUCAAUAAGGCGAUGCUUUAUGCCCGCCUUAUCGCUAAGGCGCUUUGAAAGACCCUCAAAUGCCUCCGUCGCCUUAUCGCCUUCAAAACUAUGGGUUGGAGUGAAAAACAAACUUUUCCCCACUUGUUCAAAUAUGCUGAGAUGGACUGCUUCUAAAAGAAAAAGUUUCAAUAAAAUAAAUCCGGGUUACAAAAUUUAUGUUACACAUAGGCAUACCAAACCUAUUUUUCAUUCAAGAAUCUAUUUUGUCUACUAGCAACCAAAUGAUUUCGAUUUCUGGCCCCUUAGUUAAGGAGAGCCUUAGUUGCCAUGUUAGGGUGUUAGUUCUUCAUUUGAGCAUCGAGACUGUGAAGAAAGAAGCAUUGAAUUGUUUUGAUGUCGUUAUCAUCUUCUUAUAGUAAUAAGCUGUACUCAGUUUAUCUCUCUAUACAUUUCAGUUUUAUCUUCUCUUAUGGUCUACAGUAAAGAUGCAUUCUUAUAAUGCAGCUGCAGUGACUGGCACUAUUCAUCAGCUCAUUUGGAAUAAGUGUUCUUCAUUUCCCCCUAAGGUCUUUGUUAGUGGUGGAGUCAUACCUGGUGAGAAUGUUUGACUCAAAUUUGUGAAGUUUUGUAAAGAUGCUUGCAUUGAAGCAAGGUUGGUGUGGCAACUCCAUUUCUCAAGUUCCAAUUUGCUUGAGAUCUGGUUCCACCUGAGCACGAGGACAUCUAGAUCUAGUUGCCACACCGCCAACCAUGGUUUAAUGUGUCUUCUAUACAAUACGAUACCCUCCGAUACGUAUCUUAAAUUUACUCGACCGAUACGGCUAAUACAUUAAUCCUUGAUUUUUAGCAUAUCUUGGCAUAUCUCUGAUACGAUACGAUACCCUCCGAUGCUCCUCCUAUACGACGACCGAUACCAUUACGACAUUCCUUUCUUACCUUUCAGCAGAACUGUAUCCCGGCAUUGGAGAGCGAGCGUCAACCGAGCUCAACAGCUGCCUUCGUUCUGUAAACCUAAGUCCAUAGGUGAAGACAUGAGAAAAGGUCGUAUAACCUCGGACGACUCUUAUGAAAAAGGGGGGGUUUCGUUCUUCACCCUAUCACAAUUGCAUCCAUGGCCGCAAAGAAAUUCGUCCCUUACCGUUAGUUUUUCCUCAGUCGAGCCUUCUUCUCUAUUAUUUUCUCUCAUGUUUUACCCUCUUCCCCCAUCUGUAAAACCCCAAAUUCCUCUGGUUUUCCAAGGAGGUUUACCAAGUGGUUUGAAAUAUGAUUUACAAAGCCAGUACUUAAAAUGGUUUACAAGGCUAUCUUUCCAAGGUGAAAUUCCAAUCUGGUUUUCUAUGCUGGUUUACAAAGUGUGAUCUGCCAAGGCGGUUUGUGAGGUUGGUCAGGCAGCCGAAGGCCCGGAUACCCGUUGUUAGCAAAAAAAAAAAAAAAAAAAAGACACCUUUAUAAGUGUGUACAGUAUUUGGAAUUUGACACCUUAAAGUCUGGAUACCCGUCAAUAAGAAAAUUCCUUUAUAAAAAGAAUUGGAAAUAUGAUCUGAUUAUAUUUUUAAGGGGUUUCCAUGUUGCCAAUGUUGGGGGAGUUCAUACAGUACACCAAUGGUGGAACGGGGAAUAGCAUCAUCCAGAUGGGUCCUACAUGGUUGGGGAGGAGAGAGAAAAUAACAAAAAAAAAAAAAUUAAAAGCUCAUGUGAUAGAAUAUGACAUUGGCUGUGUGCGAAAAUUUUUCCUAAAUUUUAUUAUUGUUUAUUUUCCAUUUAUUUAUUUUGAAUUGACCCAAUAUAUAUAUUUUAUAUUUUAUAUUUCCCAUCGUGUAAUAUGAUAUUGCACAUUUCUUAAUGGUUUGGACAGCUUUCUAUUGUCAGAUUAGAACCUAUUGCCUUUAGGUAUGAUAAAUAAAAAGAUAAAAGUGUCUGAAGUUGGAUGGUCUCAUGUUGAAUUUAAUUUGACUUACUUUUUUAUUUUUUACUUGCAACUAGAUGAUGCUUUUACUUUGGAAAAAUUGGUAAAGUAAUUCGAUCCCACCAACAGUUGAACUCGUUAUUUAUAAUUCUGAUAGACUAAGUAAUUUUUUUUUUCUUCGCAUCUUCAGCUAUAUUUGAUGAAACUUAUGUUUUACAACAGUGUUUCUGGGUAGUAAAUGUGUCUUCCCCCUCCUUGCCGGCCUCCACUCUUCUAGUGGAGCACUUUUGCAAGUGGAAUGUGUUUGUUAACAUGAAAGUGGUUUUGUACUUUUACAGGAGUGGAGUGCGUAUGUUAACAUGAAAGUGUUUUUGUACUUUUCAAUCCUGUGGAACCUCUUUCUCCAUCUCCAUCUGAGAGGUAGAAAUUGUGAAACCAUGUAGUGGUUCAUCCACGUCUUCUCCAGCAGCAUUGGUGUUGCCAAACGUGCUUCCAUUCUCGAAGUGUUCUUUAAAAAAAACAACAACCACAAAUGAAGAACUAAAAGAAGUAAAGGGAGAGGACUCUCCCGGAGUGACGGUUGACUUUUGGUCGCAACAGUUGGCGCCGUCCGUGGGAAUGAAAUUGCAGUGAUAACCAUCAGAUGUCUAUGGCAAACAGUGGCAGUGGCGGAUCUAAUUCAAAAGCGGUUUUCAGGUCAAAGAGGAGCAAGAGAGUAACCUCACCGUCAACUCCAUUUCUCGAGUUUGAGUUUGUUAGAGAUCUGGGUCCACCUGAGUGCGAGGAGGACAUCCAGAUCUGGUUUCCAUGCCGCCAACCAUGGUUUAAAGUAUUCACUAAGGCACCAGAAGACUUUCCGAACUCGAGAUGCUGGCUGGAAGCUGUAUGAGCGGUAUUGUCCACAUACGGUUCAAAGUUUUAGAUGCAAAGACGAGUGCAAUCUACGCUUCCGAAACAAAAUUAGGGGAGUAAUCUUACAUGAUUUUCUCUGCCCGUCUUUUAAUUAAUUUAUUCACUCUAUAUUUGUUCUUGUUAAUUAACUUAGAUAAUUAUAAAGAGAUUACUUUGUUUGAACCGACUCAAAUAGCUCAGCAAUAUCUUUCUGUAACCAACCACUCCGCCCCCAAGCAAGCUUCCGACAACCGACUGCACAACAACCGAGCAUACCAUCUCAAAAGGCAAAGCUAAGCAUACCAUUCUAAGGCCUAGCAUACCAUCCCAUCCCAAGGCCGAGCAGACCAUCCCAAAAUGAAUGAAAUCAAUUUACUGAGCAGACCAUCUCAAAAUGGAGAACACCAUCCUAAAGUGGAGCAAACCAGCUAGCCGAGCAAACCAUCCCAAAAAGUAUCAGACCAACCCAAAGUGGACCACACUAGUUAGCCAAGCAGACCAUCCCAAAAUAGAGCACACCAUCCUAAAGUGGUCCAAACCAGGUAGCCGAGCAGACCAUAUCCCAGAACGGAGCAGACCAACCCAUAGUGGACCAAACCAGCAACCAAGCAACUUAAACUACAUUUGCAAAGAAGUACCCACAUAGCAUCCCCGAAAACCAACCAUAUUGAAGUCGAGUGUACCAUUGCAAUGCUGAGCAUACCAUCCUAAGGCCUAGCAGACCAUCCCAUCCCAAAGCUGUGCAAACCGUCCCUAAAUGGACCAAAUCAAUUUACCGAGCAGAGCAUCUCAAAAUGGAGCACGCGAUCCAAAAGUGGACCAAACCAGCUAGUGAGUAGUCCAUCCCAAAAUGGAGCAGACCAAGCCAAAGUGGACAUGACCAAAAACCAAGCAACUCAAAAUGCAUUUGCUAAGAGGAACACACUUAUAGGAUCAACUGACAAUGUCUACAUUUUAGCCAACGCAAAUCUGUGUUGCGCAUGAAUCUCCUUAACCCACAGGCCAUGUCAUAGGUUGUAGAGGAGCAUACAUUUCAGCUCUGUUGUUAGGCAUUUCUCGUCCAUGUUAGCACCUGCAUCCACAUCCAAAGUCUCCACACCCGAGCACCCGUAUCCAAAUGCUCUGCAGCCAAGCACUUUGAGCCAUUUUCUCCAAAUCCGAACUCUACCCAAUAGAUUAGUGCAUUUUGAUUCUCUACCGAGGGCAUCCAUAAGUCUCUCCAUUGAACAUGACCAUACCACCUCAUCGUCUAUCGCAGAGUAGGUACAAAAAUCUUAAACAUAGUCGAAACUUUACCAAAAACAGGAAACUUCUAGUUGAAACUUUGACAAAAAUGUAUAUCGCAGUGGGUUUUUUUUUAGACCUUGCAAAGCCUUGUACCUCGAUUUUGUCCGUAUUUUUAAGAAUUAAAAUUUGGAGAUUGCAAAAUACCCUUUUGGGAAAUUCCACAUUCAAUGCCAUUAAUUUCAUGGAGCUAGUGCAUCACCUAAUAUUAAAGGGCAUCACAGAGAGAAUGCUUAUGAAUUUUUCCAUAAUUUAAAUGCACAAAAAAGUAAUAUUUUGGAAUACCAUAAACAUAAUGACCAAAUAUCCAAAUAUAAAAUAGAACAUGUAUUUAACAUAAUCCACAAGUAUAUGCGCAUGAAUCUUACAUUCUGAUAUAUAAUAAAUAACAGACUCAAAAUAUUUCCCACUAUAAUCAUGCUAAAAUGAACAUGAUAACGCAAACAUAUCCUAAAAGGGAAAAAAAGGAGAAAUGCCUAAAUAAAUUAAGCGAUUUCACAUAGUUUGACUUAAAUACAUUGAUAACUGGGGCAUCCAUAGGUGUCCAUUGAAUAUGACCAUGCCACUUCCUCGUCUCUUGUGAAGUUUUUACUAAAUUGGUGCAACUCCCACUUUUCUUAUAAUACAAUCAUCCGUUACUUAUCCCUCCUGGUCUUGUUACCCAUCCGACGAAACAUCCUUAACUCUGCUACACCCAGAGAUGAGGAUCCCGUGUAACAUCCUAAUCUGUGGGUGUAGCAGAGAUGAGGAUGUUACGUGUGAUUUGUGACAAGACCAGGCGGGAUAAGUUAAGGAAUGAUUGCAUUGGAAACAAAGUGGGGGUCGCAACGAUUGAGGAUAAGCUCCGUGAGAGCCAUUGAGGUGGUAUGGUAAUGUUCAAUGGUGACCUAUAGAUUUAUAGAGGAAGAGUUCAGAGCAACUGCAAACUUCAUUCAUAAGUAUAUACAACUUUCUUGUAUGUAUGUAUAUUAUUGCUUUAAUAGCAAUGUACUGUUAUAUUUAUAAAAGAGAGUGUCUAUAGGAUCCCUUUAUAGGUGUAUGUUUGUAUUUGGAACUUGACACCUUAGGGGGUGUCAAAUAGGAAAGUCCAUUUACAAAAAAAUGGCAAUAUAAUUUGAUUUUAUUUUUAGGGGGUUUUCAUGUUGCCAAUGUUGGGGGAGUCUCGUACACUACACCAGUGGUGGCACGGGGAACAUCAUCAUCCAUAUGGGGCCUACAUGAUUGGGGAGGAGAGAGAACAUAAAAAAAAAAAAUCUCUUGUGACUGAAGAUGAUGCAUUGGCUGCAUUUGAAUAUUUUACAAAAUUAUAUUAAUCAUUAUUAUCUAUUUAUUUAUUUAUUUUUAAUUGACCCAAUAUUCCUUUUUUAGUUAUUUAAUAUUUCAUUUCCCAUGAUGGAAUAUGAUGUUGCACUUUUCUUAAUGGUUUGAACAACUUUCCAUUGUCAGAUUGGAACCUAUUGCCUUAAGG